UACGUAGGGGGCAAGCGUUGUCCGGAAUCAUUGGGCGUAAAGCGCGUGUAGGCGGUCCGGUAAGUCCGCUGUGAAAGUCGGGGGCUCAACCCUCGGAUGCCGGUGGAUACUGUCGGGCUUGAGUACGGAAGAGGCGAGUGGAAUUCCUGGUGUAGCGGUGAAAUGCGCAGAUAUCAGGAGGAACACCUAUUGCGAAGGCAGCUCGCUGGGACGGUACUGACGCUGAGACGCGAAAGCGUGGGGAGCAAACAGG
rnacentral:rRNA from 1 species